rnacentral:lncRNA from 1 species
CUCAUCAUUGCGUUCACCUCUGCAGACACUGCCAUGUUGCUCUUCCUGGCCAUGCCUAUGCUUGCAGUGGGAGGAAUCCUGUUCCUCAUCACCAACCUACAGCUUCUUUAUGAGCAGGGAAUCAGCCUCAGGCACUCCUUCAUCUUCCUGUCUGUCUGCAGUGCCUGGCAUGUUGGGCGUACUUUCCUUCUGAUGCCUCGGGGACAUAUCCCCUACCCACUGCCUCCCAACUAUAGCUAUGGCUUGUGCUCCAGGUUCUGUACCAGGAAGGAAGAGAAUGAGGCAGCUGAACAUGAGACCAAGGAGUUGCAGUCAAGGGAAUGUCAGUCACCAAAGGAAGAGAACUCUGGACCAGAGCAGCAGCAGCAGCAGCAGCAGCAGCAGCAGCAGCAGCAGCAGCAGCAGCAGCAGCACUCCUUCCGACGCUGCGUGUUCUCUCACCGAUUCAUCUUGCAUGUGGUGUGGCUGUCCAUCAUACAGUUGUGGCAUUACCUCUUCAUUGGUACUCUCAACUCUCUCCUCACCAAGUUGGCUGGUGAGGAUAGUGUGAAAGUCAGUGCCUACACAAAUGCCUUUGCCAUCACCCAAUUUUUUGGCGUGCUGUGUGCCCCCUGGAACGGCUUACUCAUGGACUGCCUUAAACAGAAGUAUCAGAAGGAAGCCAAAAGGACAGGUUUGUCCUCUGAGGCUGUGGCUCUCUGCUCCAUGGUGCCUUCGCUGGCCCUGACGUCUCUCCUGUCCCUGGGCUUUACUCUGUGUGCCUCCAUUCCUGUCAUAGAGCUCCAGUACGCCACCUUCAUCCUGCAAGUGGUCAGCCGCUCCUUUCUGUAC